AUUGAACGCUGGCGGCAGGCCUAACACAUGCAAGUCGAACGAGUGGCGGACGGGUGAGUAAUGUCUGGGAAACUGCCUGAUGGAGGGGGAUAACUACUGGAAACGGUAGCUAAUACCGCAUACCAUCGGAUGUGCCCAGAUGGGAUUAGCUAGUAGGUGGGGUAAAGGCUCACCUAGGCGACGAUCCCUAGCUGGUCUGAGAGGAUGACCCGCCACACCUGGAAUUAGGAACGGGCCCAGCUCCCUAGGGAGGGCGCCAGUGGGGAUUUUGGACAAUGGGGGCAAGCCCUAUGGAGGCAUGCCGGGGGGAAUGAGAAGGGCUUUGGGUUUUAAAGUACUUUCGGCGGGAGGACGUUACCCGCAGAAGAAGCACCGGCUAACUCCGUGCCAGCAGCCGCGGUAAUAC
rnacentral:rRNA from 1 species